UCCAUCUUUAAUUGUCUUUAAUUCUCUUGAAUUUCAUCUCUGUUCGUUGGCGUAAUCGUGUAUAAUUAACCACAGAUCUCUCCUCUGCAUAUCGUACUGUUAUUACUUCCGUGUUGUUAAGGUUUUUUUUUCUGUUUGUGUUUUUCGUAAAAAAAAAACUUAUUUGGUUUGAUUAAUUGUUGUCGGUGAACUGUAUCGUGAUUAUCAUCGUUGGUAUUGUUCUUUGUUUUCAUAACAAAACGCUUGAAGUUGUUUGAUUAGUUUGUUUUGUUUUUUUUUUUUGUUUUUUUUUAAGUUUUAAUCGAUUUUAUCGUUGACGGGAAGUUUGGGAGAUAAUCACGAUUAGGAAAGGAGGCGGAUGCGUUCCCAGCAAGAAGAAGAAGCCGUCCUCUCUCGCCACCACCACCGCCGAUGGUCCCGGAACCGACGAUGCUCCGAUCCCAAUCGAGGACGAUCGGCCGACGACGGAAAUGACAGCACCGGAGAUCACGGCGAGGACGAUCUCUCCGCCACUCAAGAUCUUCGUGGUGUUCUACUCGAAGCUUGGCUAAGAGGAUGAUGAAGGGAGCGGAGGGAGUGGAGGGGGUGGAGGCGAAGCUCUACAGAGUGCCGGAGACGCUUUCUAAGGAGGUCGUCGAGCAGAUGAAGGCGCCGGCGAAGGAUUCAGAGAUCCCGGAGGCGGAGUUGGCGGAGGCCGAUGGGUUUCUGUUUGGGUUUCCGACGAGGGCUGGGGUGUUGCGUUGCUGGUUGGUGUGCCAAGCAAAGACAAUGCCUUCAAGACUCAUCCAAUGAACAUGCUAAACGAGAGGACUCUGAAGGGUACUUUCUUUGGGAACUACAAACCCAAAACUGACAUUCCAGGGGUGGUCGAAAAGUACAUGAACAAGGACAUGGAGCUUGAGAAGUUCAUCGCUCACAUCUCUGAGAUCAACAAGGCCUUUGAUUACAUGUUGAAGGGAGAAAGCAUCCGUUUCAUCAUCACCAUGGGUGCUUGAAACCAACAUUCUCCUCCUACCAAUAAUGUCUACUUUGUGAGUGUUUUAGUAGAUAUCUUUUAUUGCUUUUGGUUUUUAAAGUCUCUAAUUUAUUACCAUAUCGUGCAAUAGUUUUCAUUCUAAUAAAAAUACAUAACCUUUUCCCUUUAAGUGUGUGUGUAUUCAACAUUCAGAAUGCAAACGAACUAACCAUAGUGGCUCAAAAGACGUUUCGGGACAAGCUCUGCAGAUACAGAGCCAUUUGUUUUAAGUGGUUAGAAGGACUGUGAACUCAUUUUGUUUUUGUACAACCCUUUGUUUUCAAGGCCAGUUCCUGAGAUUCUUCUAAUGGCAGCUUUGUGAUUCUGUU